AACGCGAAGAACCUUACCAGGCCUUGACAUCCAAUGAACUUUCUAGAGAUAGAUUGGUGCCUUCGGGAACAUUGAGACAGGUGCUGCAUGGCUGUCGUCAGCUCGUGUCGUGAGAUGCUGGGUUAAGUCCCGUAACGAGCGCAACCCUUGUCCUUAGUUACCAGCACGUAAUGGUGGGCACCCUAAGGAGACUGCCGGUGACAAACCGGAGGAAGGUGGGGAUGACGUCAAGUCAUCAUGGCCCUUACGGCCUGGGCUACACACGUGCUACAAUGGUCGGUACAAAGGGUUGCCAAGCCGCGAGGUGGAGCUAAUCCCAUAAAACCGAUCGUAGUCCGGAUCGCAGUCUGCAACUAAUC
rnacentral:rRNA from 1 species